CGGAGGAUGCAAGCGUUAUCCGGAUUUAUUGGGUUUAAAGGGUGCGCAGGCUGACCGGUAAGUCAGGGGUGAAACUUUACAGCUUAACUGUAAACGUGCCUUUGAUACUGCCGGACUAGAGUUUAAGAGACGUAAUUGGAAUGUGAUGUGUAGCGGUGAAAUGCUUAGAUAUAUCACAGAACGCCGAUCGUGAAGACAGAUUACGAACUUAAUACUGACGCUCAUGCACGAAAGCGUGGGGAUCAAACAGGAUUAGAUACCCU
rnacentral:rRNA from 1 species